rnacentral:lncRNA from 1 species
GGUAUGAAGAUGAUGAGAAUUAGGAAGCCGCCCUUCCUGGAGACCCUCUAAAAUAGACUUACCCAAAUGGAAUAUGAUGACAAAUUCAACAUUUCCAAGGCGCUACAAUAGGAGUCAUUACCAGAAACCCUACAAUAACAACCUCCGGGAAACCCUAGCACAGAAACCAUGAUGACAGAUAUCCCCAAAGACUUUACAGGAACAAACCAUCCCAAACAGAACUUCCCAAUGGUAUCCAAGUCCUUAAAAUAAGCCAUUCCCAGGGAAUUGACAUUCUCAAAGUUUUCCCAAGACCCUAACAUGAAAUCUGACCUUUGCAGAAGCCCUCGGAUGGUGGCCCUUGCAUGCUUCAGUUCAUGAUGUUGGAGACUAUUUCCCCACCCUUGCGGAAAAACCUUCUCUCUGUGCCAUGCAGCUACUGCCAGGGAUGGAGGAUGGCGGGAAUUGGCAACUAAAGACUGUCCUCCUACCCUCUUCAGUGUGUCCUUCAGCAAUAUGAAGUUAAAACCAGUCUUGCUCUGUCCCCAGGCUGGAGUGCAG